UGCUGGAUAGCUCACUCGGUAAAGCAUCGCGUUGCGAAGCAGAAGUGUGGGUUCAAUCCCCGCUUCGUAC